GAAAUGCGAUACGUAAUGUGAAUUGCUUUCCGUGAAUCAUCGAAUCUUUGAACGCACAUUGCACUCUUUUAGAGUAUGCCUGUUUGAGAAUCUAUAGUAUUAAUUUCUGCUUAGGCUUUUUAAGUCGAGGCAGGAGAUCUGAGGCUUCCCUCCUAGGGUGCUUUAAAAUAGAUUGUGUUUGUUUUGUAGAGGACUACGACGUUUUUCAAAACCUGCAGAAAAGUAUUUGAAUGGAACCGUGGUUUCUGAUAUGCUGAAUAUGUGGGCGAAAGAUUGAGUCUUUUUCAGGCAAGCGUCCAUACCCAAGAGCCGUAACCGGCUUGAACCAUGGUCUCAAAUCAGGUAGGAAGACCCGCUGAACUUAA
rnacentral:misc_RNA from 1 species